rnacentral:rRNA from 1 species
GUGACUGCGUACCUUUUGUAUAAUGGGUCAGCGACUUAUAUUCUGUAGCAAGGUUAACCGAAUAGGGGAGCCGGAGGGAAACCGAGUCUUAAUUGGGCGUUAAGUUGCAGGGUAUAGACCCGAAACCCGGUGAUCUAGCCAUGGGCAGGUUGAAGGUUGGGUAACACUAACUGGAGGACCGAACCGACUAAUGUUGAAAAAUUAGCGGAUGACCUGUGGCUGGGGGUGAAAGGCCAAUCAAACCGGGAGAUAGCUGGUUCUCCCCGAAAGCUAUUUAGGUAGCGCCUCGUGAAUUCAUCUCCGGGGGUAGAGCACUGUUUCGGCUAGGGGGCCAUCCCGGCUUACCAACCCGAUGCAAACUGCGAAUACCGGAGAAUGUUAUCACGGGAGACACACGGCGGGUGCUAACGUCCGUCGUGAAGAGGGAAACAACCCAGACCGCCAGCUAAGGUCCCAAAGUCAUGGUUAAGUGGGAAACGAUGUGGGAAGGCCCAGACAGCCAGGAUGUUGGCUUAGAAGCAGCCAUCAUUUAAAGAAAGCGUAAUAGCUCACUGGUCGAGUCGGCCUGCGCGGAAGAUGUAACGGGGCUAAACCAUGCACCGAAGCUGCGGCAGCGACACUGUGUGUUGUUGGGUAGGGGAGCGUUCUGUAAGCCUGCGAAGGUGGCCUGUGAGGGUUGCUGGAGGUAUCAGAAGUGCGAAUGCUGACAUAAGUAACGAUAAAGCGGGUGAAAAGCCCGCUCGCCGGAAGACCAAGGGUUCCUGUCCAACGUUAAUCGGGGCAGGGUGAGUCGACCCCUAAGGCGAGGCCGAAAGGCGUAGUCGAUGGGAAACGGGUUAAUAUUCCCGUACUUGGUGUUACUGCGAAGGGGGGACGGAGAAGGCUAUGUUGGCCGGGCGACGGUUGUCCCGGUUUAAGCGUGUAGGUGUGUGUUCCAGGUAAAUCCGGUUCACUUUAACACUGAGGCGUGACGACGAGGCACUACGGUGCUGAAGCAACAAAUGCCCUGCUUCCAGGAAAAGCCUCUAAGCAUCAGGUAACAUCAAAUCGUACCCCAAACCGACACAGGUGGUCAGGUAGAGAAUACCAAGGCGCUUGAGAGAACUCGGGUGAAGGAACUAGGCAAAAUGGUGCCGUAACUUCGGGAGAAGGCACGCUGACACGUAGGUGAAGUGAUUUACUCAUGGAGCUGAAGUCAGUCGAAGAUACCAGCUGGCUGCAACUGUUUAUUAAAAACACAGCACUGUGCAAACACGAAAGUGGACGUAUACGGUGUGACGCCUGCCCGGUGCCGGAAGGUUAAUUGAUGGGGUCAGCGCAAGCGAAGCUCCUGAUCGAAGCCCCGGUAAACGGCGGCCGUAACUAUAACGGUCCUAAGGUAGCGAAAUUCCUUGUCGGGUAAGUUCCGACCUGCACGAAUGGCGUAAUGAUGGCCAGGCUGUCUCCACCCGAGACUCAGUGAAAUUGAACUCGCUGUGAAGAUGCAGUGUACCCGCGGCAAGACGGAAAGACCCCGUGAACCUUUACUAUAGCUUGACACUGAACAUUGAGCCUUGAUGUGUAGGAUAGGUGGGAGGCUUUGAAGUGUGGACGCCAGUCUGCAUGGAGCCGACCUUGAAAUACCACCCUUUAAUGUUUGAUGUUCUAACGUGGACCCGUUACCCGGGUUGCGGACAGUGUCUGGUGGGUAGUUUGACUGGGGCGGUCUCCUCCUAAAGAGUAACGGAGGAGCACGAAGGUUGGCUAAUCCUGGUCGGACAUCAGGAGGUUAGUGCAAUGGCAUAAGCCAGCUUGACUGCGAGCGUGACGGCGCGAGCAGGUGCGAAAGCAGGUCAUAGUGAUCCGGUGGUUCUGAAUGGAAGGGCCAUCGCUCAACGGAUAAAAGGUACUCCGGGGAUAACAGGCUGAUACCGCCCAAGAGUUCAUAUCGACGGCGGUGUUUGGCACCUCGAUGUCGGCUCAUCACAUCCUGGGGCUGAAGUAGGUCCCAAGGGUAUGGCUGUUCGCCAUUUAAAGUGGUACGCGAGCUGGGUUUAGAACGUCGUGAGACAGUUCGGUCCCUAUCUGCCGUGGGCGCUGGAGAACUGAGGGGGGCUGCUCCUAGUACGAGAGGACCGGAGUGGACGCAUCACUGGUGUUCGGGUUGUCAUGCCAAUGGCACUGCCCGGUAGCUAAAUGCGGAAGAGAUAAGUGCUGAAAGCAUCUAAGCACGAAACUUGCCCCGAGAUGAGUUCUCCCUGAGACUUA